UUGCUUAGUGUGUUUAAUAAAUAAAUAAAGUGACUAUGCUAAUCUGUAUCUAAAUAAAACUUAAGCAUGGAUAUGAUGAAUAGUUGCUCUGCCUAAUAUGCAAAUUUUAAGUUCUCUCUCAAGUUUAGAUAUAACUGUUAUAAUUUAAAGCUUGCUCUAGACCUAAACCUGUGGGAUGAAAACUUGAUCUAAAGUCUAAGUUGUUAACGGAUACGAUAUAGGAAGGUUGAGCUGCUGUUUAUCUGUUCCUAGAGAUGCUAGAAUUCUGGAGAAUUUUAUCUUUGAAAAUCUUUAAAAUGUUGCAUGAUAUGUUCCUGUAUGAUGAGAGUUUAAAUUCCUACCACAGCCAUAUAUACAUGCUUAUUAGACUUUGAGCCACACAUUUACUAUUUACUGCUUAUGAGCAUUGAGUGUGGUCAAGCUGUGUAGACCCUUAGGAGCUUAUCAUGUGGUUAAAUCAAGAUUCACUUGCACGUUCACUCAUAUAUGCUACUUCUACUCCAGAAGUACCAUCCAUAUAUAUCCAUCCAUUUCCAUCUCCAGAACCACCUAAAAAUAUUCUACUCCUAAUCCGGGAGAGAAUAACCAAAAAUAUUUCUGUUUUUCCCUUGUGAAAUAAAUGCUCAAGUUAUCUUGUUACUACCACUUGCUAUCUUAUCUCAAGAGAUGAGUGUUCUAGAAAAAAAAGAAAAAAAAGAAGAAAGAAGAAAAAAAAUACGAGGAAAUAAAAAGGAGCAAGUGCUCGGAACCUCGAAGGAAAAGAAAAAGUGAGACGAGAGGUAAAAAUAGACAAGUGUCCGACAGUAGAAUUAGGGGUACAAGAUGCCCACCUGAGAGAAAAAAAAGAAGAGCAUCUCAUUCUCCUCAUAAAGUUUCUAAAGCAAGGAAGGUAUGUAUCCCCUCAAAGAGCAAAGUAGAAUUAGACUUCCACCACCAUUGUUUUCACCAUUGUUAUCACCAUCAUCACCAUACAUCAUUCAUUCGCCACACAUGCACAUCUUGAUUUGGCUUAUUGAUUUGUUUCUUUGGAUCCAUGGUUUGACUAUGCAAUAAAUGUCUUGUAAGUAUGUAUACUUUAUCUCCCACCUAUGAGCUCCAGAUAUUAAAGCCUUAUUAGUGUAGGGUGAGAGAGAAGGCAAUGUCACUAUGCCUUAUACCACAAAUACCACAUAUCUUGAGAGAAGGCAUAUACCAUCACUGCCUUGGUAAGGAUCCAGAAAUACCACAAAAGAGAGAUCUGAGAGAAUCAUACAAGGAAUCUCUGAGUUUUAUUUGAAAAUCUGCAAAAAACCCCAGAGCUAUAGCUGAUCAAGAAUAAGAGACAUGGCACUUGGCUAGACUGUUCUAUCUUUUAACUACUCAAGACAGAAGUGACAGUUACAAGUCCCAUGGUGAAGGUAAAGUAAGUAAGUUUUAAGUCUUGACAGUUUACUCUAACUCAGAGAUGAGAUCUUAUUUAAAAGCAUGUGUACCGUCAAUUUUUAAAGAUAUUGCAACAACUUAUGAUCCAUAGCUGAGUCUAUCCUUGCUCAGGGACGAGCAAGAGGUAAGCUUGGGGGAGUUUGUUGACGGUCCUUAAGUAUCAAAUUUAAUUAUCAAAUAAAUAAAGAAAAGGAUCCAAAUGAAAUCAACAUCUAGACUUAGGGUUUUAUCUGACAGAAUUCCACGAGUUUUGGUGUUUGUCUAUUUCUGUAGGGGGUUAUCAGGAAAUACGGAAGAAAGGCCCACACGUCGGGAUUACGUAAAGAUAUUAACGUGCCGCGCAAUUAUCUUACAUCUAGAAGACUCCAGAAGCCACGAGACCGAAGCGGAGGCGAAACGGGGCCUGACCCUGGGUGGCCGCCCAGUUGGUCAGGGCGCCCGCCCUGCCCCUGAGUCCAAUCAGGACUCUGCUUUGCGGGAGGUUUCCACCGACCUAAAGGAUGAAUCUAAACCAUACAAUCUAUGUCAGUUUGAUCCAACGGCCCGUAUUCACUUGAAGGGACUAUAAAACCAGACCCCCUGGCCCCUGGAGGAGAGAGCCUCUCAACCCUAAUUCAUUGUUCCAUCAAGGGAGAAGAAGCCUCUGAUCAAGAUUAGAGCCACCACAUCAAUUAGAUAUCUAGAUUAGCAUAGCUACAUAGGAUUAGAACUAGAAGGAGUCAAUCUUCGAUUGGUUUCCGGAUCUGUCAGGAGGAUUCUUGGUAAUUCUCUAAUUGUGCUUCUAAUUGCUUUCUAAUUAUCUUUGUUCUUCAAUAUUAUGAAUAUGACUUUGUUCUACUUCAAUAUAUUGCUUAUGACUUUGCUCUACUUGCUUAUAUUCAAGAUUAUAUUGUUCUUAGUUUAUCAUAGUUAUGUACUUGGCUUAGUUAGAUUGGAUCUAUAUACAUGCUUAGGAUCGUAUAGCGUUUAUCCAUCGGAUCCAUGGGUAAAUGAUAGAUAUUGUGUAGGCGUGGUGCUUAUACCGUAUUUAUCUGCGAUUGUACCCAAUAUGCCAGAUCGUGGGGUGGUUCGUGAUAGUGACAGCUUCAUUGAUUCUUAUAUAGUCCCCCUCUCGUGUAUUGGGCUGGCAGAGCAACAUUAUUACAGGGGAGUGAUUGCUAUGUUUCUCAUAUUCCUUGCUAAUAUCACUAUGCAUGGGCGUAGUCUUGUCUCACAAUGAUUGCUAAGUAUGCUUGCACUAAUUAUGAUAAUGCUAGACUAUAUAGUUGAGAAUAACUUAGGGAAUAUUCUUGUAGUUCGUUCUAAUACCAUGCUAAAGACUUUCUAGAGUAUCUAAUUGAGGUGCUUAUCAUAUUUAUUAUGUGGCUAGAUCAGAUUAAUUAUCCUUGUCACUAUUAUUAUCUCAUAUAUCCUUUAUGUGACACUUAUCCCUGUAUGAAGAGUUAGAUAUAAUGUUCUCAAUUAUACAUGCAAUGAUAGAUGCUCAAUCUCAUAUUCUAUUCUGUAAUCAAUAUUGAUGAUUGCUAAUCCCUUCCCAGUGGUAAAAAUAUAAAUAACGAUACCUGGAAUACUUCCCGGUUAAAAUGCUGCAUCGGUAUUAAUCUGUGCGCUUGCAGACCCCAUUCAUUAUUUAUUUAGAAGAGCAAUUGCAUAUUUCAAUACCGCGUCUCUUAUAUCAUGCUGGGGAUGACAACUUGGCUUAAGUGGUGUGAGGGAUAGGUUUGGCAUUUUUGGCACCGUUACUAGAUUUAGAGAACUUAGUCUACUUUUGGUAAUGAUGUUAAGAAUACCCAACAGUACCAAUCCUCAGCAAGCUUAUCCACAACAAUGCUAUCAGGGACAGUCAACCCUGGUCAAUCGUAACCAGUAGCCACAGCGUGCACAGCAGCAGCAGCAGUACAAAGCUCCUAACCAACGUCAGCAGCCAGUCAAUAAUGCUCCCGUGAAGACAAAUGUUCCCAAUGCUCCACCAAAGAAUGGUGCACCAAAAGCACCAAAUGCCAACAAUGAUAACAAAUGUUAUAGCUGUGGUGAGCCGGGACAUUACUCCAAUAGGUGCCCCAAGAAGAUGGCCCAAAACAAUAUCAGAGGCAGGGUAAAUCAUGUGACAGCCGAGGCGGCACAAGAGGCACCGGACGUGAUGCUCGGUAUGUUUCCAGUUAACUCAAGCCCUGCUACAGUUUUAUUCGAUUCCGGUGCAUCACAUUCCUUUAUUGCUCAGUCAUUUGUCAAGAAAUAUGAUAUACCCAUGAUUGCUAUGAAAAAUUCCAUGAUAGUUAGCUCACCUGGAGCAGAAAUGCAAGCUACCCUUAGAUGCCCUCUAGUAAACAUCACCUUACGGGGGGUAGAGUUUACAGUUAGCCCAGUGGUUUUGAAAACUUCUGGUAUUGAUGUUAUCUUGGGUAUGGAAUGGUUGAAACAGAGAAAGGCAGUUAUACAAUGUGAUAGCAAAACAGUUCAGUUAAUGACACCUUCAGGACAGCAAAUUGAGAUAGAGGUUAGUAUGUCAGCUAAACAAUACUACACAGUUAAUCAACUGAAGGGGACAUCAAUAGAAGACAUAUGGAUAGUGAAUGAGUAUCCGGACGUAUUCCCUGAGGAACUGCCAGGUAUGCCACCUGACCGUGACAUUGAGUUUAUAAUUGAACUUUUACCUGGAACUGCAACCAUGGCUAAAAGACCAUAUAGAAUGGGAGUGAAUGAAUUAGCAAAACUUAAGAAGCAAUUAAGAGAAUUGCUAGAUAAGGGUUAUGUUCAACCAAGUUCCUCACCUUGGGGAGCACCAGUGUUAUUCGUAGAAAAGAAAGAUGGGACACAAAGAAUGUGUAUAGAUUACAGAUCGCUUAAUGAGGUUACAAUUAAGAACAAGUAUCCACUCCCUAGAAUCGAUGACCUGUUUGACCAGUUGAAAGGAGCUUGUGUGUUUUCUAAGAUAGACCUUCGGUCUGGUUAUCAUCAGUUAAGGAUAAGACGAUCUGAUAUCCUUAAAACUGCUUUUGUGACUCGAUACGGACUAUAUGAGUUUACAGUCAUGUCCUUUGGUUUGACAAAUGCACCUGCCUACUUUAUGUAUUUGAUGAACAAAGUAUUCAUGGAAUACCUUGAUAAGUUUGUGGUUGUGUUCAUUGAUGACAUACUUGUUUUCUCUAAGAAUGAGAUAGAACAUGAGAAACACUUGAGAUUGGUGCUGCAAAAGCUUAGAGAACAUCAACUUUAUGCUAAGCUUAGUAAGUGUGAAUUUUGGUUAAAAGAGGUAUCUUUCCUUGGGCACAUCAUCUCUAACGGAGGGGUAGCAGUGGACCCGAAAAUGGUUCAGGAUGUGCUAAGCUGGAAGCCACCUAAAGAUGUGAGUGAAAUUAGGAGUUUCCUUGGAAUGGCUGGGUACUAUAGAAGAUUCAUUGAGGGUUUCUCUAAGUUAGCCAAACCAAUGACUGCUCUGUUAGAAAAAAAUGCUAAAUUUAUAUGGUCUAAAGAGUGCCAGGCUAGUUUCGAAGAGUUAAAAAAGAGACUGACUUCUGCCCCUGUACUCAUUUUACCUGACAUCACUAAGAGUUUCUCUAUCUACUGUGAUGCCUCUCGGCAAGGUCUUGGUUAUGUGCUGAUGCAGGAAGGCAGAGUUGUGGCCUAUGCCUCUAGACAGUUGAGGAAACACGAGUUAAACUACCCGACCCAUGAUUUGGAGUUAGCGGCCGUGGUGCACGCUCUGAAAAUAUGGAGGCACUAUCUAAUUGGUCAUAAAUGUGAGAUUUAUAAAGAUCAUAAGAGUUUGAAAUAUAUCUUCACCUAGUCUGAUUUGAACUUAAGGCAACGAAGGUGGUUGGAACUGAUUAAGGAUUAUGACCUGGAAGUACACUAUCAUCCGGGUAAAGCUAAUGUAGUGGCAGAUGCCCUGAGUAGAAAGAGCUAUGUUAAUAUGGCUUAUGUGACUCAGUUACCUAGGGAGUUGUGUGAAGAGUUUGAACAGCUGAACUUGAGUAUAGUAGCUAACACUAUGGGAUUGGAGGUGGAACCCACACUAGAACAAGAUAUCCGUAAAGGACAACUGGAAGAUGAGAAAAUUAAAGAUAUUGCUGAACGGAUAGUGAUCGGUAAGGCACCAGGUUUUCACAUGGAUGACCAGGGAAUAGUAUGGUUCGGUAAGAGGAUUUGUGUACCCUAGAUAAAGUCUAUUAGAGAGACUAUUCUGAGAGAAGCUCAUGACUCAGCCUAUUCUAUACACCCGGGUAGCACUAAAAUGUACCUCGACCUUAAAGAAAGAUAUUGGUGGUAUGGCUUGAAAAGAGAUGUAGCAGAAUAUGUGGCUAUAUGUGAUACGUGCCAAAGAGUAAAAGCAGAACACCAGAGACCAGCAGGAUUACUUCAACCCAUGAAAAUACCUGAGUGGAAGUGGGAAGAAGUUGGAAUGGAUUUCAUAGUGGGACUACCUCGAACACAGAAAGGAUACAAUUCUAUCUAGGUUAUUGUAGAUCGAUUAACCAAGGUAGCUCACUUCAUUCCUGUCAAGACUACCUAUUCCGGGGCAAAGUUGGCAGAAUUGUACAUGGAAAGGAUUGUGUGUUUACAUGGGGUGCCAAAGAAAAUUGUUUCUGAUAGAGGGACACAGUUUACAUCACACUUUUGGCAGAAACUACACGAGUCCAUGGAUACAAAAUUGAAUUUUAGUUCGGCCUACCAUCCUCAAACAGAUGGGCAGUCAGAAAGAACAAAUCAGAUACUAGAAGAUAUGUUGAGAGCUUGUGCCCUGCAGUACGGGACAAGUUGAGACAAAAGUUUUCCUUAUGCUGAGUUCUCCUAUAAUAAUAGCUAUCAGAAGAGUCUCAAAAUGGCACCUUUUGAGGUAUUAUAUGGCAGGAAAUGCAGGACACCACUGUUUUGGAGUCAAACUGGGGAAAGUCAAGUUUUUGGGCCAGAGAUUUUGCAAGAAGCAGAGAAACAGGUGCACACAGUAAGACAGAACUUGAAAAUAGCACAAUCUCGACAGAAAAGUUAUGCAGACACAAGGAGAAGGGAUUUGGAAAUUCAGAUAGGAGAUUAUGUGUAUCUCAAGGUCUCACCUAUGAGAGGAGUCAAGAGAUUUCAUACCAAGGGGAAGUUGUCUCCUAGGUAUGUAGGUCCCUUUAAGAUCAUUGCUAGGAGAGGAGAAGUAGCCUAUCAACUGGAGUUACCUGAACAACUCUCUAGUGUUCACAAUGUCUUCCAUGUGUCACAGCUUAAGAAAUGUCUGAGAAUACCCGAAGAACAGUUACCUCUAGAAGAGCUUGAUGUUCAAAAAGAUCUUUCCUAUAAAGAAUAUCCUGUAAGAAUUUUGGAGACAACAGAAAGAAUCACCAGGAGCAAAGUCAUAAGAAUGUGCAAAGUACAGUGGAACAGGCAUUCUAAAGAUGAAGCAACAUGGGAAAGAGAGGAUGAUUUGAGAUCUGAGUACCCUUAUCUUUUUGAGCCAUCCGAAUCUCGAGGACGAGAUUCAUCCUAAGGGGGGUAGGUUUGUAACACCCUAAAAAUUAAUUUUCAAAUUAGUAUUUAAUUUGGCAUAAUUAUAGGAAUUAUUUGAGAAUUGUUUAGGCAAAAUAACAAUUUUUGGAAUUAUUUAAAAUAAACUAUAAGGUCUAGAAACAUGAAAUGCUGCAUUCAUGCUGGUGCAUAAUAUUUUGAUUGUUUGUAAGACUAGGUUGUUUGUUUUAAAAAUCAAUUUGAUAGAAAUUUAUACAAAUUUACAGCUCUGAAAAAUAUAAAAGAGUUUUUCUUUUAUUUUAUUCCCUUCAUCGAAUCUGGCCCAGCCCCAAACCCUGGCCCAACACACCCCGCGCUCACCCCUGGCCUUGGGCCGUUGGCGGCCUAGUGGCGCGGCCUGCUCCGCGUGGACAGCCCGCGCGCCUCCCCUUUCCCCCUCUCACUGUGCAGUAGGGCCCGCCUGUCGGCGCUCUUUUCCCCCUCUCUCUCUCUCGCUGCACCGUGGGGCCCGCACGUCAGCGUCUUCCCCCUUCUUCUCCACCGAGCCGGGAACAUUGCAAUGGGCAUUCAUCCCCUUCUUCAAACGCCGAUUGAUGGAGGCCAUCAAUCGGGGCUCCAUCAAGCCUCUUGACGCUGGGAGAACGCCCGCAUGCGCGCCCCCUCGACGCCCCUGCUCGCCCUAUAAAACCCCAGGCCGAGGCCCCUUUGCUGCCCCUAGCCACCACCGGAGCACGGUUUCUCUCCCCCACCUCGGUUUCCCCUUGCUCGAGCGACCCAAAGCCCGGAGAGUGCCCUGGGAGCUUGGUUGGGACUCGCCGCGACCGUAGGCACCUAUCUCACCUUUGUUUUGAUCUUGUAUGCCAUGAAUUUGAUCUCACCGAUGUUUUCUUCUCUCUCCAGUCCGCCCCGACCGUGGUCAAGCCGCUCGGAGCUUUUCCGGACGCCGCGAACGCCUCGAACGGAACCUCGGUAUCCCCUCGAUGCUCCCCGUGCCUUUAAUCGCAAGUUUAGAGCGCUCUAACACCGAACCCGAGCCUUCCGAGGGCGCGGCAAUGGCGCCACCGUGGGGCCGUCGUCUCGACGUGCUCCCCGCCCUUUCUUUGUGCCCUAUCGUGUUCGCCUCGUCGCGCUGGUCGUUGUGGUAGCGUUAUUUUUGUUUAGAGUGGCCGGGAACGAGAUUCCGGCGAGCUCCGAGGAGCUCACCUCGUCGGCGACAAUGGCGCCGCCGUGGUCGGCCUCGGCUCAGGCGAGCGCCCCGCUGCCCUUCUUCCUGAGCCGUCUGAUCAGAUUCCAACGGCCUAGAUUACAUACCCCUUCGGGGUUAUGUAACCGGUCCACCGUGGACCAUGGACGCGGUCCACGGGUGCUCGGUCGGCCGGUCCACGCGCACAGUGGUGGACCGAGCCAACCCCAGCACGCCACUAUUGACGGUCCUUAAGUAUCAAAUUUAAUUAUCAAAUAAACAAAGAAAAGGAUCCAAAUGAAAUCAACAUCUAGACUUAGGGUUUUAUCUGACAGAAUUCCACGAGUUUUGGUGUUUGUCUAUUUCUGCAGGGGGUUAUCAGAAAAUACGAAAGAAAGGCCCACACGUCGGGAUUACAUAGAGAAAUUAACGUGCCGUGCAAUUAUCUUAAAUCUAGAAGACUCCACAAGCCACGGGAAGGAAGCGGAGGCCGAGAGGGGCUAGAGGCAGGGCGCCCGCCCUGUUUCCCUGGGCGCCCGCCCACCUCUGGAGCCCAAUCGGGACUCUUUCUCUCGGGAGAACUCCACCGACCUAAAGGAUCAAGGAUAACCGUUCAAUCUAUGUCGGUUUGAUCCAACGACCCAUAUUCACUUGAGGGGACUAUAAAACCAGAUCCCCUGACCCCUGGAGGAGGCACCCCUUGAUCAUUAUUCAUUAUUCAUAGACAGAGCAAAAGCUAGGGUUUAGAGAUGAGAGCUCUCCUCUCUUCUCUACACUAGAGUAGAUCUAGAUAGUAGCAAGAUGCAGAGCGAAGGAGGAUUAGAGGAGAGGUCGGCCUGUCGGUUCUUCCUCCGGUUGUACUUCGUCAUGAUCAAGCUCUAAUCAAGCUUGCUCAUGGGAUGACUCUGGUAAUCUACUUCUAAUUCAUUAUGCAAUUACUAAUUAUGUAUGUUCUGGUUCACAACUCUUUUGAGUACUUCUAAUCUAUAGGACGCUAUAGGUUAGAGUUGUAGUAUAGGUGUAAGCGUGGUGCUUAGACCUAGAUUACUUGUGGAUAUCCCCUGUCUAGCUGGAUCGUGUGGUAGGCCGCGUAGGUGACAGUUACGGUGGUCCUCUGUAGUCCACCUCUCGUUAGCAGGACAGGUAGGGUUUAUCGGCCUAUGGAUAAGCAUCCUUUGUGGUGUAAUCUUAUCACGUGGUUCGUCCCAGACAUAGACAUACCCCUUUGAAGUAGAGAAGCCAUAGUUAUUCUCUCUAUUCUGCUACCAUCACCCAUAUACUAGAUUGCUCUACUCUCUAUUCCCAUAUUAUCACUCACUGUUAUCUUGCCUUUAAUAUUGUUCUUAUUCGAUUCUACCAUCUUUCCUAUUUACACCUAUCUAUUUACCUUGGUUAAGUUAGAGCGUAGUUGGUUCUCCCGUUUCCCUGUGGAUACGACAAAACCUUUAACCGGGUAAAAGCUUCAACGGUAUCCGUGCGCUUGCGGAUUAUCUAUGUGCGUAUAAAUACCAUAGUACACUCUUGUGCCAUGCUGGGGAUGACAACAUAGUAUUCAAGUGGUGUUAGCAAGUGUCAACAAGCAUUUUUGGCGCCGUUGCCGGGGAAACGGUUGCUGAGUUGACUACGAACUAGCUUAAUCAUUUUCUAAAAAAAAAUAAAAAAAUAUUUUAUUUUUAUCCUUUGCCUCAUCUCUGCUAUUCUUUCGUCUUAUCUAAUCCUUGAUCUCUGGUCUAUCAUGAAUUCAAACAUGUCUAUCUAUGAAUUUCAUAGACCUACUUGCACACAUCUCGAACCACCAAAAUCUUCAAAGCCUAUCAUAGCAUCUAGUUUUGAGAUAGACCCUGAAUACAUAGAAUUUGUUCAAAAACAACCUUUCUCAGGAGAAGGUGAGGAAAACCCAUAUACACACCUAAGAGAGUUUUAUAGAGUCUGUGACCUCCUUCGCAUAGAAGGCAUGUCCGAUGAGACCCUUAAAUGGAAGCUCUUUCCGUUCUCUUUAAUGGGAAAAGCUAGACAUUGGUAUAAACUCAAAGUAGGGAGUGUUCAUGGAGAUUGGAAGGAGUUACAUAGUAGUUUUCUUUCUAAAUAUUUUCCAAUCUCCAAAGUGGUGGAACUUCGGCGUGAGAUUCUUUCUUUUUGACAACUCGAAGAAGAAUCUCUUGGCAAAUCAUGGGACCACUUUAUUAACCUUACUCUCACUGGCCCAAAGCUUUCUAUUCCAAAAGAAGUUCUUCUAAUUCACUUUUUUGAGGGCCUUAGUGGGGAAAAUAAGCAAACCCUUCAUGCAGCCUCUGGAGGAUCUUUCCACCACCUAUCCGCUAGUGAAGCUUGGAAUUUGAUUGAUUUAAUGAGCGGAAAGUCUCCUAGCUUUUAUAUCCCUGAGAAAGAGACAGAACCAGUUCCUAGACAAGAAGAAGAAGUUUUGAUAGCCAGAUCACAACCACUUCAAUUCCAAACUUUAGCUAUCGAUCCUAAACCAUCAAUACCCCAAAAUUCUCCAAGGGAGGAAGGAAUUCCGACCUUAAAUCUUUCAGAUGCUGAUGGUUUAGACUUCUGGUUCCAUAAGAGACCUUCAAGCAGGGAUAAUUCAAAUCCUCGCAAUAAUGGUUCUCUUAGAGAAUGUCCUGGUUCCUGUUAUGAAGAAGUCGAGGAUGACAUAUCAAGUGAAGGAGAGUAAGCCAUAUUGAAAAUUCUAACACCUCCCCUUUCCUGAUCACAAGUUCUAAAUGGCUAGAAUGUGUAGAAUGGAUGGAUAAGGAAGAAGCCUUAAUGAAUUCUGACUUUGGCUCAAUUUCAAAUGAUGAGUUCUUGACUCCCUUUGAAGAUGAGAUUCAUCCAACUACAGAAGAGGACAUAGGUGAGACCAAUCCAGGAGAAACUCCAAAUAUUCAGAUUGGAGACGAAGAUAACAUUAAUGAGCAUGGAAUUUAUUUCAUAGCCACUUCAUUCACUCCAUGCUCAUAUGCAACAUCUUCCCAAUCUAUUGGUCUCUCCAACUUCACCACAUUUGAGAUCUCCAACCCCCUCUUCCUUUCUAUUUAUAAAAACUUUAAAAGGGCGGUUGUCGAUGCAUAUGUUUAUAAUAAAUAUUGCAGAUCUCGUUGAGUUGAUCUUGAUUUAGGUCAGCGUUGGAAGGGAAACCACUUCGCCGACAUAAAUUGAUGGUUUCCCAAGGACAAGCUUGGUGUCCUAAAAUAAGCACUGAUCAGAUCAUAACAUGAGUUUUUAAUUAUUUGCAACAUUACCUUGUGUAUUGAGCAUAUAAGGAUAAUUGUAAAAAUAUUCCUUCGGGUAUUCUUGUCACUAACCUUUCCAGGAUUGGAACAAGAAGAUCAGAUGAAUGACAAGCAAGUACAAGGUAUGUCCAACCAAUCAUCAUGCAACACCGAAUUAAAUUCAUCCAAACUUGAAUUCUGCAAAAUUCAAGCUUGGGGGAGUACUUUACAUAAAAACAUCCUUUGCCUUGUUGCUAUGUUGGUUCUCCCUACCUUUAAGACAUGCUCAGUUUGUUAAAUACUAAUCACACUACUUCAUCUCCACUUAAGUAGAUCUCUAUAAAUGCUGUCAUGCUACCUUUGUCUAUUUACUAGUAAGUGUUAGUUUGGAAGUACUGCACAUACUUCUAUUGGCUUUUAAAUUAAGCAUGGUGCUUAGGUUAAACAACCUUCCUUAAUCUGAUUAGACAUGGAGUCUAGUUCGGUUAUUGAACUAAAAACUACUUGUGUAGACAUUGGUAUAUUUUUGUCGGACUAACCCCUGCAGAGAAACUUUCAAUAUCGAUUUGGGAAGUCCUGAGAUAAACUCACAUCAGAGACGAAGAGAGUGACACAUGAAGUUUAACAAUUUGCACAAGAAGGACAUAUCUCAUUCAUCAUAGAGAGAUGAUCCAUGGAGGGUGCCACAAACACGAUGCACAACCGCUAAGAAAGGAAAGCUUCCACAAGGUGAUACUGUACCAUCACUCUUCAAGCAAGGUAACAUCUUAAGGUACUUGACUAUCACUUUUAUAAGCUUCUCCUUGGUUUUGGCGUUCAUAUAAAUAAAAGAGACAAACAUGUAUGAUUUACAACUCUAGAUUAACCAACCCAACUGAUUCAACAUGUUUAGUCCUUUAAUCCUUGUUCUUAGUACUACCUCCAUGAUCCCACACUCCUAAUCAUAUGAGCUAAAAUGUUACACAUUCAAUCUUUGAGAGAUAUAAAGAAAAAGACAUAUACAUAUAUAGAUUAUCUUUCCAUAAGGUUGAGUGAUCUGAUCUGACAAAUGUUAUAAGUGCUGCACUCAUGAACUUUUCAUCCAUCAACUUUGUCUUGCUCACUAUGCUUAGGGUUAGAGAAGAACAAAUACACUUUAGGUUCUGUUGGUGUUUUCCACCAACAGGACCCAUGCACUUGAUCUCUGCCUUGUCUCUAUGAGUAGGUACACUUCGAGCAAAACACGGAGGAGUUUUAUAACUCUCAGACUCUACCAAGUGAAGGACCUGGAUCUACGAGCACAAACACACUGAGCAAGACACUGCCAACGCCGCACUUCAAACUGCUGGGCAAACGAAAAGGUGCAGAUGUAAAGGUCCGCACCUGAAUCAAAUGACGCACCUAAAGAAUGAACACAGUGAGAAGUCUUGUUUAGAAGACUUAAAACAUUGAACCCUCGCCGAAAGGUAAGAUCGGUAGUUAUCCAUAUUUAUCCUUUCUGCAUUCCCUUUUCCCUUUAAUUAAUUACUUUCCUUAAAUAGAUUAUUAGUUAAUCAUGCUAUCUUGAAAAGAAAAUAAAAAUGUUAAAAAAUACUAAGCCCCAUGUGAGUAUACGAGUGGCAUAAAACCCAUAAGUACCUUCACUGUGGUGGCAUAAAAAUAAAAUAAAUAUUUCUUUUCUCCUUUAUAAAAUAAAAAUAUAAAAAUAGGGAGUAAUAUUUAUUGAGGGAGCUCAACAUGAUAAAGGCUAGAUAUUUAUGCUAACACUUAAUCAGUUCCACAAGCUUUGUUGUCUAUUUGAGCUCCAGAGGAUUUAAGAAUCAAGAAGACUAGCAGACGGAGGACAUUCUAAUCGCGGUCAGAAUGCUGCUGACUUUCAAAUACACCUCUGCCACCUGCUAGCUACAUCAAGACAAAUUACGUCAAAAUUCAGCUUGGGGGAGAGCACCCCCAUUUAUCUCGCUAAGUAUUUUUACCUAUCUUUAUACUUAUAUUAUGUUAGAAUAUUAAAAUACAUAAACUAUGAAAAACCAAAUAAAUAUUUUGUGCUUAUAUAUAUAUAUAUCUUUUGCUUAGUGUGUUUAAUAAAUAAAUAAAGUGGCUAUGCUAAUCUGAAUCUUAAUAAUAAAACUCUAGCAUGGAUAUGAUGAAUAGUUGCUCUGCCUAAUUUGCAAAUUUGAAGUUCUCUCUCAAGUUUAGACAUAACUGUUAUAAUUUAAAGCUUGCUCUAGAUCUAAACUUGUGGGAUAAAAACUUGAUCUGAAGUCUAAGUUGUUAACGGAUAUGAUAUGGGAAGGUUGAGCUGCUGUUUAUCUGUUCCUAGAGAUGCUAGAAUUUUAUCUUUGAAAAAUCUUUAAAAUAUUGCAUGAUGAGUUCCUGUAUGAUGAGAGUUUAAAUUCCUACCACAGCCAUAUAUACAUGCUUGCUAGACUUUGAGCCACACAUUUACUAUUUACUGCUUAUGAGCAUUGAGUGUGGUCAAGCUGUGUAGACCCUUAGGAGCUUGUCAUGUGGUUAAAUCAAGAUUCACUUGCACGUUCACUCAUAUAUGCUACUUCUACUCCGGAAGUACCAUCCACAUAUAUCCAUCCUUGUCCAUCUCCAGAACCACCCAAAAAUAUUCUACUCCUAAUCCGGGAGAGAAUAGCUAAAAAUAUUUCUGUUUUCCCUUGUGAAAUAAAUGCUCAAGUUAUCUUGCUACUACCACUUGCUACAUUAUCUCAAGAGAUGAGUGCUCUGAAAGAAAAAGAAAAGAAAAGAAAAAAAAUAAACGAGGAAAUAAAAAGGGGCAAGUGCCCGGAACCUCGAAAGAAAGAAAAAGUGAGACGAGAGGUAAAAAUGGACAAGUGUCCGACAGUAGAAUUAGGGGUACAAGAUACCCACGUGAGAGGAAAGAAAAAGAAGAGCAUCUCAUUCUCCUCAUAAAGUUUUAAAAAGCAAGGAAGGUAUGUAUCCCCUCAAAAGAGCAAAAGUAGAAUUAGACUUUCACCAUUGUUAUCACCAUCAUCACCAUACACCAUUCAUUCGCCACACAUGCACAUCUUGAUUUGGCUUAUUGAUUUGUUUCUUUGGAUCCAUGGUUUGACUAUACAAUAAAUAUCUUGUAAGUAUGUAUACUUUAUCUCCCACCUAUGAGCUCCAGAUAUUAAAGCCUUAUUAGAGUAGGGUGAGAGAGAAGGCGAUGUCACUAUGCCUUAUACCACAAAUACCACAUAUCUUGAGAGAAGGCAUAUACCAUCACUGCCUUGGUAAGGAUCCAGAAAUACCACAGAAGAGAGAUUUAGAGAGUCAUACAAGGAAUCUCUGAGUUUUAUUUGAAAAUCUGCAAAAACUCCAGAGCUAUAGCUGAUCAAGAAUAAGAGACAUGGCACUUGGCUAGACUGUUCUAUCUUUUAACUACUCAAGACAGAAGUGACGGUUACAAGUCCCAUGGUGAAAGGUAAAGUAAGUAAGUUUUAGUUCUUGACAGUUUACUCUAACUCAGAGAUGAGAUCUUAUUUAAAAGCAUGUGUACCGUCAAAUUUUUAAGAUAUUGCAACAACUUCUGAUCCAUUGCUGAGUCUAUCCUUGCUCAGGGACGAGCAAGAGGUAAGCUUGGGGGAGUUUGUUGACGGACCUUAAGUAUCAAAUUUAAUUAACAAAUAAACAAAGAAAAGGAUCCAAAUGAAAUCAACAUCUAGACUUAGGGUUUUAUCUGACAGAAUUCCACGAGUUUUGGUGUUUGUCUAUUUCUGCAGGGGGUUAUCAGGAAAUACGGAAGAAAGGCCCACACGUCGGGAUUACAUAGAGAUAUUAACGUGUCGCGCAAUUAUCUUACAUCUAGAAGACUCUAGAAGCCACGGGAAGGAAGCGGAGGCCGAGAGGGGCCAGAGGCAGGGCGCCCGCCCACCUCUGGAGCCCAAUCGGGACUCUUUCUCUCGGGAGAACUCCACCGACCUAAAGGAUCAAGGAUAACCGUUCAAUCUAUGUCGGUUUAAUCCAACGGCCCAUAUUCAUUUGAGGGGACUAUAAAACUAGACCCCCUGACCCCUGGAGGAGGCACCCCUUGAUCAUUAUUCAUUUUUCAUAGAUAGAGCAAAAGCUAGGGUUUAGAGAUGAGAGCUCUCCUCUCUUCUCUACACUAGAGUAGAUCUAGAUAGUAGCAAGAUGGAGAGCGAAGGAGGAUUAGAGGAGAGGCCGGCCUGUCGGUUCUUCCUCCGGUUGUACUUCGUCAUGAUCAUGCUCUAAUCAAGUGUCACCCAUAUUUUAAGAACAAAAUAGGAUGCAUAAAAGACUCAUAUGUGCCCCAGGAAUAGUCGCACACAUAAGUAGACAAAUCUCAAAUGUACCAUUGCAGUGUUUAUUACAUAGCGGAACAAUAAUAAAUCACAUAGUCUCAUACAAAGAUGAUAGCAUAGAGUAAACAACGCUCUCGACGGAAGCUUCACACAGGGACAGCAUUGCCUGGUUGACUCCAAACCUAGUACUCAUAACGAUAGUCCUCAUUCCAGUCAUCUUCAUUAUCAUAUCCUGAGGUGUUGGGAAAUUGCAAGAGUGAGCACAUAUCGUACUCAACAAGUAUAACUAGGGGCUCAUGAGGCUCAAAUAGCUGACACUGGUUUGACUGCAUUUAGCUUUUAAUAGUUGAUAGCAUGUUUAAUUAUUGAAUAGCAAAUGUCAAGGUAGCAUAAUAAAUUCCAUAACCACAUGAUCAAUGUAUACAAGAAUUAAGAAUAACACAUAUAAACAAUAUAAUAAACCAUCAUUUAUCAUCAUUAAUCAUGUUCGUCAGAGUCCAUCUAUUCCGUCAGUUUUCCGGGCCGCCCGUAUCCGUGGGCACGGCUAGUAUACCAGAUUUAACACUCUGCAGAGGUUGUACAUCUUUACCCAUGAGUCGUGAUUUACCCUUUCGCCCGAGGUGAUCAGCCUCUUAACCCACUACAAAGGAAGGUCGGCAGGGAUCACUAUGAAGUCUUUCAAAGGUUCGUCUAACAUGUUAGGGCCACAAGGUUUCCUUUGCGCGCAGAUAUAGAUACGCCC
rnacentral:lncRNA from 1 species